ACCUGCCCUAUGAUUUUAAAAUUAAAUGGCCGCGAUAUUUUGAUCGUGCAAAGGUAGCAUAAUCAUUAGUUUCUUAAUUAGGAACUGGAAUGAAAGGUUGAACGAGAAAAAAACUGUCUCAAUUUAAUUUAAUUAGAAUUUUAUUUUUGAGUAAAAAAGCUUAAAUAAUUUUAAAAGACGAGAAGACCCUAUAGAGUUUAAUAUUUAAUAAAUUUUAAAAAAUAUGUAGUAUAUAAUUUUUUAUUUUUUAUAGAAUAUUUAGUUGGGGUGACUAUAAAAUUGAAUAAACUUUUUUUAAUUUUAAACAUUGAUAUAUGAAUAAUUGAUCCAUAAAUUAUGAUUAAAAGAUUAAAUUA
rnacentral:rRNA from 1 species